rnacentral:rRNA from 1 species
AACGAACGCUGGCGGCAGGCUUAACACAUGCAAGUCGAGCGCCCCGCCAGGGGAGCGGCCGACGGGUGAGUAACGCGUGGGAACGUACCUUUUGGUUCGGAACAACUCCGGGAAACUGGAGCUAAUACCGGAUAAGCCCUAACGGGGAAAGAUUUAUCGCCGAAAGAUCGGCCCGCGUCUGAUUAGCUAGUUGGUGAGGUAACGGCUCACCAAGGCGACGAUCAGUAGCUGGUCUGAGAGGAGGAUCAGCCACACUGGGACUGAGACACGGCCCAGACUCCGACGGGAGGCAGCAGUGGGGAAUAUUGGACAAUGGGCGCAAGCCUGAUCCAGCCAUGCCGCGUGAGUGAUGAAGGCCUUAGGGUUGUAAAGCUCUUUUGUCCGGGAAGAUAAUGACUGUACCGGAAGAAUAAGCCCCGGCUAACUUCGUG